rnacentral:rRNA from 1 species
AGAGGCAAUACCGCGAGGUGGAGCAAAUCUCAAAAAGCCGUCCCAAUUCGGAUUGCAGGCUGCAACCCGCCUGCAUGAAGUUGGAAUCGCUAGUAAUCGCGGAUCAGCAUGCCGCGGUGAAUACGUUCCCGGGCCUUGUACACACCGCCCGUCACACCAUGAGAGUCGGGAACACCCGAAGUCCGUAGCCUAACCGCAAGGGGGGCGCGGCCGAAGGUGGGUUCGAUAAUUGGGGUGAAGUCGUAACAAGGUAAC